rnacentral:rRNA from 1 species
UACACAUGGAGUUCCACUCUCCUCUUCUGCACUCAAGUUCAACAGUUUCUGAUGCAAUUCUCCGGUUGAGCCGAAGGCUUUCACAUCAGACUUAUUGAACCGCCUGCACUCGCUUUACGCCCAAUAAAUCCGGACAACGCUUGCCACCUACGUAGAGUUUGAUCAUGGCUCAGGACGAACGCUGGCGGCGUGCCUAAUACAUGCAAGUCGAGCGAGCUUGCCUAGAUGAUUUCGGUGCUUGCACCGAAUGAAACUAGAUACAAGCGAGCGGCGGACGGGUGAGUAACACGUGGGUAACCUGCCCAAGAGACUGGGAUAACACCUGGAAACAGAUGCUAAUACCGGAUAACAACAUCUAGCGCAUGCUAGAAGUUUGAAAGAUGGGUUUCUAUCACUCUUGGAUGGACCUGCGGUGCAUUAGCUAGUUGGUAAGGUAACGGCUUACCAAGGCAAUGAUGCAUAGCCGAGUUGAGAGACUGAUCGGCCACAUUGGGACUGAGACACGGCCCAAACUCCUACGGGAGGCAGCAGUAGGGAAUCUUCCACAAUGGACGCAAGUCUGAUGGAGCAACGCCGCGUGAGUGAAGAAGGGUUUCGGCUCGUAAAGCUCUGUUGGUGGUGAAGAAAGAUAGAGGUAGUAACUGGCCUUUAUUUGACGGUAAUCACCUAGAAAGUCACGGCUAACUACGUGCCAGCAGCCGCGGUAAUACGUAGGUGGCAAGCGUUGUCCGGAUUUAUUGGGCGUAAAGCGAGUGCAGGCGGUUCAAUAAGUCUGAUGUGAAAGCCUUCGGCUCAACCGGAGAAUUGCAUCAGAAACUGUUGAACUUGAGUGCAGAAGAGGAGAGUGGAACUCCAUGUGUAGCGGUGGAAUGCGUAGAUAUAUGGAAGAACACCAGUGGCGAAGGCGGCUCUCUGGUCUGCAACUGACGCUGAGGCUCGAAAGCAUGGGUAGCGAACAGGAUUAGAUACCCUGGUAGUCCAUGCCGUAAACGAUGAGUGCUAAGUGUUGGGAGGUUUCCGCCUCUCAGUGCUGCAGCUAACGCAUUAAGCACUCCGCCUGGGGAGUACGACCGCAAGGUUGAAACUCAAAGGAAUUGACGGGGGCCCGCACAAGCGGUGGAGCAUGUGGUUUAAUUCGAAGCAACGCGAAGAACCUUACCAGGUCUUGACAUCCAGUGCAAACCUAAGAGAUUAGGUGUUCCCUUCGGGGACGCUGAGACAGGUGGUGCAUGGCUGUCGUCAGCUCGUGUCGUGAGAUGUUGGGUUAAGUCCCGCAACGAGCGCAACCCUUGUCAUUAGUUGCCAUCAUUAAGUUGGGCACUCUAAUGAGACUGCCGGUGACAAACCGGAGGAAGGUGGGGAUGACGUCAAGUCAUCAUGCCCCUUAUGACCUGGGCUACACACGUGCUACAAUGGACGGUACAACGAGAAGCGAACCUGCGAAGGCAAGCGGAUCUCUGAAAGCCGUUCUCAGUUCGGACUGUAGGCUGCAACUCGCCUACACGAAGCUGGAAUCGCUAGUAAUCGCGGAUCAGCACGCCGCGGUGAAUACGUUCCCGGGCCUUGUACACACCGCCCGUCACACCAUGAGAGUCUGUAACACCCAAAGCCGGUGAGAUAACCAUUAAAGGAGUCAGCCGUCUAAGGUAGGACAGAUGAUUAGGGUGAAGUCGUAACAAGGUAGCCGUAGGAGAACCUGCGGUUGGAUCACCUCCUUA